UACGAGAGGCCCAAACGUUAUUCGGAAUUACUGGGCUUAAAGAGUUCGUAGGCGGCGCAGAAAGUAGGGUGUGAAAGCCCUCGGCUCAACCGAGGAAUUGCGCUCUAAACUACUGUGCUUGAGGAACCUAGAGGUGAGCAGAACUGAUGGUGGAGCGGUGAAAUGCGUUGAUAUCAAUCAGGAAUACCGGAGGGCGAAGGCGGCUCACUGGGGGUUUUCUGACG
rnacentral:rRNA from 1 species